rnacentral:rRNA from 1 species
AUUAGAUGAGCCUAUAUUAGAUUAGCUAGUUGGUGGAGUAAUAGCCUACCAAGGCAAUGAUCUAUAGCUGAUCUGAGAGGAUGAUCAGCCACACUGGAACUGAGAUACGGUCCAGACUCCUACGGGAGGCAGCAGUGGGGAAUAUUGGACAAUGGGCGAAAGCCUGAUCCAGCCAUGCCGCAUGAGUGAAGAAGGCCUUUGGGUUGUAAAGCUCUUUUAGUGAGGAAGAUAAUGACGGUACUCACAGAAGAAGUCCUGGUUAACUCCGUGCCAGCAGCCGCGGUAAUACGGAGAGGGCUAGCGUUAUUCGGAAUUAUUGGGCGUAAAGGGCGCGUAGGCUGAUUAAUAAGUUAAAAGUGAAAUCCCGAGGCUUAACCUUGGAAUUGCUUUUAAAACUAUUAAUCUAGAGAUUGAAAGAGGGUAGAGGAAUUCCUGAUGUAGAGGUAAAAUUCGUAAUUAUUAGGAGGAACACCAGCGGUGAAGGGGUCUAUCUGUUUCAAAUCUGACGCUGAAUCGUCUAGGCGUGGGGAGCAAACAGGAUUAGAUACCCUGGUAGUCCACGCUGUAAACGAUGAAUGUUAAAUAUGGGAAAG